UCUUCCGGUAACAGUACCUGCGGAGGGAUCAUUGCUGGAACGCGCCCCAGGCGCACCCAGAAACCCUUUGUGAACUUAUACCUUACUGUUGCCUCGGCGCAUGCUGGCCCCCCCGGGGGCCCCUCGGAGACGAGGAGCAGGCACGCCGGCGGCCAAGUUAACUCUUGUUUUUACACUGAAACUCUGAGAAAAAACACAAAUGAAUCAAAACUUUCAACAACGGAUCUCUUGGUUCUGGCAUCGAUGAAGAACGCAGCGAAAUGCGAUAAGUAAUGUGAAUUGCAGAAUUCAGUGAAUCAUCGAAUCUUUGAACGCACAUUGCGCCCUCUGGUAUUCCGGAGGGCAUGCCUGUUCGAGCGUCAUUUCAACCCUCAAGCAUUGCUUGGUGUUGGGGCACUGCCUGUAAAAGGGCAGGCCCUGAAAUCUAGUGGCGAGCUCGCCAGGACCCCGAGCGCAGUAGUUAAACCCUCGCUUUGGAAGGCCCUGGCGGUGCCCUGCCGUUAAACCCCCAACUUUUGAAAAUUUGACCUCGGAUCAGGUAGGAAUACCCGCUGAACUUAAGCAUAUCAAA
rnacentral:rRNA from 1 species